rnacentral:rRNA from 1 species
AUUGAACGCUGGCGGAAUGCUUUACACAUGCAAGUCGAACGGUAGAGGGGGCAACCCCUCGAGAGUGGCGAACGGGUGAGUAAUAUAUCGGAACGUGCCCAGUCGUGGGGGAUAACGUAGCGAAAGUUACGCUAAUACCGCAUACGAUCUAAGGAUGAAAGCGGGGGAUCGCAAGACCUCGCGCGAUUGGAGCGGCCGAUAGCAGAUUAGGUAGUUGGUGGGGUAAAGGAUCACCAAGCCAACGAUCUGUAGCUGGUCUGAGAGGACGACCAGCAACACUGGAACUGAGCAACGGUCCAGACUCCUACGGGAGGCAGCAGUGGGGAAUUUUGGACAAUGGACGCAAGUCUGAUCCAGCCAUUCCGCGUGCAGGAUGAAGGCCCUCGGGUUGUAAACUGCUUUUGUACGGAACGAAAAGGUCUCUCUUAAUACGGGGGGCUCAUGACGGUACCGUAAGAAUAAGCACCGGCUAACUACGUGCCAGCCGCCGCGGUAA